GACGAACGCUGGCGGCGUGCUUAACACAUGCAAGUCGAACGGAAAGGCCCUUCUUUUGUGGGGUGCUCGAGUGGCGAAAGGGUGAGUAACACGUGAGUAACCUGCCCUUGACUUUGGAAUAACUUCAGGAAACUGGGGCUAAUACCGGAUAGGAGCUCCUGCUGCAUGGUGGGGGUUGGAAAGUUUCGGCGGUUGGGGAUGGACUCGCGGCUUAUCAGCUUGUUGGUGGGGUAGUGGCUUACCAAGGCUUUGACGGGUAGCCGGCCUGAGAGGGUGACCGGCCACAUUGGGACUGAGAUACGGCCCCGACUCCUACGGGAGGCAGAAGUGGGGAAUAUUGCACAAUGGGCGGAAGCCUGAUGCAGAAACGCCGCGUGCGGGAUGACGGCCUUCGGGUUGUAAACCGCUUUCGCCUGUGACGAAGCGUGAGUGACGGUAAUGGGUAAAGAAGCACCGGCUAGCUACGUG
rnacentral:rRNA from 1 species